GCAGCUAACGCAUUAAGCACUCCGCCUGGGGAGUACGACCGCAAGGUUGAAACUCAAAGGAAUUGACGGGGGCCCGCACAAGCGGUGGAGCAUGUGGUUUAAUUCGAAGCAACGCGAAGAACCUUACCAGGUCUUGACAUCCUUUGACCACUCUAGAGAUAGAGCUUCCCCUUCGGGGGCAAAGUGACAGGUGGUGCAUGGUUGUCGUCAGCUCGUGUCGUGAGAUGUUGGGUUAAGUCCCGCAACGAGCGCAACCCUUAUUGUUAGUUGCCAUCAUUCAGUUGGGCACUCUAGCAAGACUGCCGGUGACAAACCGGAGGAAGGUGGGGAUGACGUCAAAUCAUCAUGCCCCUUAUGACCUGGGCUACACACGUGCUACAAUGGGAAGUACAACGAGUUGCGAAGUCGCGAGGCUAAGCUAAUCUCUUAAAGCUUCUCUCAGUUCGGAUUGCAGGCUGCAACUCGCCUGCAUGAAGCCGGAAUCGCUAGUAAUCGCGGAUCAGCACGCCGCGGUGAAUACGUUCCCGGGCCUUGUACACACCGCCCGUCACACCACGAGAGUUUGUAACACCCGAAGUCGGUGAGGUAACCUUUUUGGAGCCAG
rnacentral:rRNA from 1 species